rnacentral:rRNA from 1 species
UACGAAGGGGGGCUAGCGUUGCUCGGAAUCACUGGGCGUAAAGGGUGCGUAGGCGGGUCUUUAAGUCAGGGGUGAAAUCCUGGAGCUCAACUCCAGAACUGCCUUUGAUACUGAAGAUCUUGAGUUCGGGAGAGGUGAGUGGAACUGCGAGUGUAGAGGUGAAAAUUCGUAGAUAUUCGCAAGAACACCAGUGGCGAAGGCGGCUCACUGGCCCGAUACUGACGCUGAGGCACGAAGGCCAGGGGAGCAAACGGG